UACAGGGGGUGCAAAUGUUGCUCGGAAUUAUUGGGCGUAAAGCGCGCGUAGGCGGCCACUUAAGUCGGAUGUGAAAGCCCCUGGCUCAACUGGGGAAGUGCACCCGAAACUGAAUGGCUUGAAUACAAAAGAGGGUCGCGGAAUUCCCGGUGUAGAGGUGAAAUUCGUAGAUAUCGGGAGGAACACCGGUGGCGAAGGCGGCGACCUGGGUUGAUAUUGACGCUGAGGCGCGAAAGCGUGGGGAGCGAACAGG
rnacentral:rRNA from 1 species